rnacentral:ribozyme from 1 species
CUGCUCCGUCACAAGUGACUGCUUUAUCGGCAACAAGUGCGUCGUCUCCAGUCCCUACUACUCGCAGUGCGUGGAGGACACCACCCAGUACCUCACCACCGGCU